GAAAUGCGAUAAGUAGUGUGAAUUGCAGAAUUCAGUGAAUCAUCGAAUCUUUGAACGCACAUUGCGCCCUUUGGCAUUCCGAAGGGCAUGCCUGUUCGAGCGUCAUUUUACCAAUCAAGCCCCGCUUGGUGUUGGGUGCCUGUCCCGCCUCCCGCGCGCGGACUCACCUCAAAUCCAUCGGCGUCGACGUGCCGGCUUGGAGCGCAGCAGACUUGUCGCUCCCGGGCCCGGUGCGGCGGUGGCCGCCAAACUAUGACACAACCUUAUGUUGACCUCGGAUCAGGUAGGGAUACCCGCUGAACUUAA
rnacentral:misc_RNA from 1 species